GCUCGCACCGGCUCGGCUCGCUCCGGCUCGGCUCCGGUUCGCCUCUGGCUCUGCAUCCCGCGCCUGGCCCUUCCUUUGCUCCAGCUCCUGGGUUGCGCGGCGGCGUCCCGCAACUGCGAGCCGCGGGGGCCGCGCCGAGAAUGAAGUGCAAGCCAAACCAGACGCGAACCUACGACCCCGAGGGCUUUAAGAAGCGGGCGGCGUGCCUGUGCUUCCGCAGCGAGCGUGAGGACGAGGUCCUGCUGGUGAGCAGCAGCAGGUACCCAGACCGCUGGAUCGUGCCUGGCGGGGGCAUGGAGCCCGAGGAGGAGCCGGACGGUGCGGCGGUGCGCGAGGUUUACGAGGAGGCGGGCGUCAAGGGGAAGUUGGGCCGGCUGCUGGGCGUCUUCGAGCAGAACCAGGACCGCAAGCACAGGACGUACGUGUUCGUGCUCACCGUCACCGAGCUGCUGGAGGAUUGGGAAGACUCGGUCAGCAUCGGGAGGAAGCGAGAGUGGUUCAAGAUCGAAGAUGCCAUCAAGGUCCUCCAGUGCCACAAGCCCGUGCACGCCGAGUACCUGGAGAAACUGAAGCUGGGCGGCUCCCCGACUAAUGGAAACUCCGCGGCCCUGUCCCUGCAGCCGGAGAGCGACCCUUAGUAUGUACCGCUCCCGCCUGGACGCCUGGCUGUCGCCUCUCUUCCCAUGCCGCCCGCCUGCCCAUCAGCCCGCCCGCCUGCUUGCCCGCGCCUGCCUGCCAGGAGAGCACCUCUCCUGCCCUGUGUGGUCAUGGGGGCAGGAGGGAGGCUUCUUUUGUUUCCUUGGCAGGCAGACCUCUGAAUCACGCUUGCAAACUGCCGCGGUUGCCAGGUGGUGUUUGCAGACAAUUUGCACGUUUUUCAGAUGCUUUCAAACCGCUUCCUGGUGAUAUGGUAAAAUGCUGUGACCAGACAGUGCAGCAUGGAAUUUCGUUGAAAGAUGAACAGUAAAUAUGUUCAAGAUUGCUCUGAAAUAAUCAUUGAUGUGAAUCCAGUAUUCAAUGGUAUUGUCAAGUUCACAGGAGUACUUUUAAGGUUCCCAAGGAGACAACUCAUCUAGUUUUCCUACGUCUUGGGACUCUCCUCAGUCUAUCCUACCAACUUUUUUGCUCUGGUUGUUGUACUAUUGUACAUGAACAGACUUAAUUCAGCACCUAUAGCCUUUUGUGUGCUUUUCUGAUGUGUCUGCCUUCUUCAUUAGACAGUUCUCUUCGAAAGCAAAGAUAUUUUUCCUUACUCUGCAUACCCUGCAGCCUAGACACUACUUGAAAUAUGGUUGGCAUCACUGAAGGUCUUUGACUCAAUUAGUAUUUUGUGAUAACUUUGUGGCAAAACGUUUCCCUUCCAAUCUGGUGCUAAUAGAGUAUAUGCUGUUUAAGCACCAUGUGUGUGGCUUAUGUGUAUCAGGUAUUUUCAUAAUGUUUUAAGAUGGCUUAAAAUGUUCAAGGACAAGAACUAUUACUCAGAUUUCUAUGCUAUACCACACAGUGGCUGGCACAGUUUCAUAUCAUGUCAUCACUUCAAUUUUAUAGACUCAGUCCUUCAUGUAACAACUUUAGUACUGUCACUUGCUUAAAAUUUUAUUCAAUAAAACCACUUGCUAUAAAGACAAUUGUAAAAACUACAGUGAACACAUAUAAUUGUAAGUUUUUAUAAAAAUAAAAUUUAAAAUGAUAUACAACUAAUGCAUUAAAUUUUUUGCAAUGCCCUAACCACUUCUUUCAUGUCAUUUUAACAUCUCCUUCCAGAAAAUACUAGGUUAUUUUUCAUUUUGCAGAUUUGACAUACUGUAUUUUUUUAUGGCAAGCACCAAGAAAAACUGGCGUAUAGGCAGUUUCCAAAAUUAAUUAUGUCAUUCAGUUUUUCUGGGUGUCUUCAGCCUCUCUCCCCCUCUUUUAGUGUGCUGUGAUUUUUAUCACUUAGUCAACUUCUUGGUGCCGCCUACUUUCUGCAUGUAAAAUGCAGAGGGCUGAGAACACUAAAUUGGUGUCACUUAGGCUAUUUGGAAAGAGACUUCUGUAAAGGGAGAACACAAAAUGAAGGACUUAAAUGAUGGGACUUGGAUCAACUCUUUCCAGAAGAACAAAUUUAUGAAAUCAUAAGACAAAGAUGUUUAGAGGAACUUUCAUGGAGUUUUGCCACAGAGCAUGUGAUGUCAACACUCUUCUUCAGCUCUUUGCAGAGGUUCCAAAGAGGCUCUAACAUAGUUGUGUUUUUUUCUCUUUCAUUAUAAAGCAUUACAUUGGGAAAGGUCUGAACUCCAUUUUAGUGUUACACCCUUCCUCGUGGUACCAGUGAAAUGUAUUGAUUGUGUCCCCAUAUCUUACAGAAUUUAAAAUAGAAACACAUCCUUAUGAUUUACUGGGUUUUUAAGGUGUGGUAUCCUUAUCUUUUAGAUAGAAAACUGUACUGAAAAUUUUACAGACAUGGUACUGGUAUUUUUUUCAAUAUAAUCAGGGUGGUAUAAACUUGUAUGUAGAUGAAACAAAAUUGGCUCUGAUUUGAUAAUUGUUGAAGCUGUGUUUGAGAAUUCAUGAUUAUUCUCUAUACUUUUGUAUAUGUUUGAAAUUUUCCGUAAUAAAAAUUAAAAAAGUAUUCCUUAGAGUUUACUUGUAGGCCACCUCUCUCUUAGAAUUUAAGUAUGGAUGGCUGGUAAGAAUACUAAUCUGCAUUACAGAAAGUUAAAUUCUCUCCAAAAUCCUAUCUUUUUUUCCUGAAUUAAACCUGUUGACUCACUGCUCUUCUCUUUUCAAGAAUUCUUUUCUUGGAAGACCCCUAGUUAACAUAUGCAAAAGGAUUAAGCCAUACAGGAGUAGACAUCAUGGUAAACAUAAGCUAAGAUCCCAGAUGGAACAGCAUACCUCAUUUUAUAUUUCUUUUUAAAACUAUCAUUUCUUUCUGAUUACAAAAUUGCUUCAUCUUCAUAAAAUUUUGAAAAUGAAAAUGAAUAAAAAUUACACAUGACCCAUCUCCCCAGAGAUAAUCAAGCUUGAAAUACACACACACACGCUCUUUUUAUUCUUUCUUCUCUGCAACUAUAACCAUAUGUAAGUCAAAAUAGGAUGGCACCAGUGAGUCCCAUCCACCAGAAAGCUUCCAAAAAGUCCAUGAUGCUUUUACCACUAAGCACACUCCACAAAACACCAUGCUCUUCUUUAGAAAAUUUUACGCUAAUGCUUGGGUCAUUAUGGAAUUUGUGCUCCUUCUGAUAUGCAAAAAAAUGGAAAACUAAACAGAAAACUUGGUUGUGAAAUCUAGACAAAGCUCUAUUAACCAAAUCUUGGUUGGUGCAAGGCAGCAUAGGCCUGCUUUGUAAUUCCUCCACAGAUUAUUUAUUCAC